AGAAAUGUAGCUCAGUGGUAGAGCACUAGCCUAGCAUCCAAAAGGCCUUGGGUUCGAUCCCCAGCACUGCAU
rnacentral:tRNA from 1 species